rnacentral:rRNA from 1 species
UACGUAGGUGGCGAGCGUUGUCCGGAUUUAUUGGGCGUAAAGCGCGCGCAGGUGGUGCGGUAAGUCUGUCGUGAAAUCUCCCGGCUCAACUGGGAGGGUGCGGUGGAGACUGCCGGACUGGAGGCACUCAGAGGCCGGUGGAAUUCCCGGUGUAGUGGUGAAAUGCGUAGAGAUCGGGAGGAACACCAGUGGCGAAGGCGGCCGGCUGGGGGUGACCUGACGCUGAGGCGCGAAAGCGUGGGGAGCGAACCGG